rnacentral:rRNA from 1 species
UACGUAGGGUGCGAGCGUUAAUCGGAAUCACUGGGCUUAAAGGGCGCGUAGGCGGAUUCUCAAGUCCGGGGUGAAAUCCCACAGCUCAACUGUGGAACUGCCUCGGAUACUGGGAGUUUCGAGGGUGGCAGGGGUAUGCGGAACUAUCGGUGGAGCGGUGAAAUGCGUUGAUAUCGAUAGGAACUCCGGUGGCGAAGGCGGCAUACUGGUCCACUUCUGACGCUGAGGCGCGAAAGCCAGGGGAGCAAACGGG